UACGUAGGGUGCGAGCGUUGCCCGGAUUUAUUGGGCGUAAAGGGCGCGCAGGCGGUACGGCACGUCCGUUGUGAAAUCGCUCGGCUCAACUGGGCGGGGUCAGCGGAUACGGCCGCACUUGAGCAAGCUAGGGGGCAAUGGAAUUCCCGGUGUAGUGGUGGAAUGCGUAGAUAUCGGGAGGAACACCAGUGGCGAAGGCGGUUGCCUGGAGCUUUGCUGACGCUGAGGCUGCGAAAGCGUGGG
rnacentral:rRNA from 1 species